UACGAAGGGGGCUAGCGUUGCUCGGAAUCACUGGGCGUAAAGCGCACGUAGGCGGCUUUCUAAGUCAGGGGUGAAAUCCUGGAGCUCAACUCCAGAACUGCCUUUGAUACUGGAUGGCUUGAGUUUGGGAGAGGGAUGCGGAAUUCCAGGUGUAGCGGUGAAAUGCGUAGAUAUCUGGAGGAACACCGGUGGCGAAGGCGGCAUCCUGGACCAACACUGACGCUGAGACGCGAAAGCGUGGGGAGCGAACAGG
rnacentral:rRNA from 1 species